AAUCGAACCCGGAGAUAGCUGGUUCUCCUCGAAAUAGCUUUAGGGCUAGCCUCAUGGAUCAUUGAUGGGGGUAGAGCACUGAAUGUGCGCGGGGGCCACAAAGCCUACCAAACGCUAUCAAACUUCGAAUACCAUACAAUGCAGACCAUGGGAGUCAGUCCGCGAGAGAUAAGUUCCGCGGGCAAAAGGGGAACACCCCAGAUCAACCGCUAAGGUCCCCAAGUUCACGUUAAGUGGAGAAGGAUGUGGAAUUGCACAGACAACCAGGAUGUUGGCUCAGAAGCAGCCACACAUUUAAAGAGUGCGUAAUAGCUCACUGGUCGAGUGAUUGUGCGCCGAAGAUGUCCGGGGCUAAACGUGACACCGAAGCGAUGGGUGCGUCUGAAGAAGAUGCGCGGUAGAGGAGCAAUGUGCAGAGGCAGAAGCCGUAUCGAGAGGCACGGUGGACACUGCACAAGAGAGAAUGCCGGUAUGAGUAGCGAGAGGCAUGCGAGAAACAUGCCCGUCGAAAGCCCAAGGUUUCCUGGGGAAGGUUCAUCCGCCCAGGGUAAGUCGGGGCCUAAGCCGAGGACGGAAGUCGUAGGCGAUGGACAGCAGGUGUAGAUUCCUGCACUACCGAUGGAAUGAAGCAGUGACACAGAAGGAUAACUCGAGCAGGGUGAUGGUCAACCCUGUGCAAGCAUCAAGGUUGGGUUGUAGUGAAGUACGCAACCCUACAAGCUGAGGUGUGAUGCGGACCGAAAUUUCAGUAGGGAAGCGAGUGAGUUCACGCUGGCGAGAAAAGCUGCUAGUACAUCCAAAGGUACCCGUACCGGAAACCGACGCAGGUGGGCGAGGAGAGAAUCCUGAGACGAACGGGAGAACCCUUGUUAAGGAACUCGGCAAAAUGACCCCGUAACUUCGGGAUAAGGGGUGCCUGCGAGAGCAGGCCGCAGAGAAUAGUCACAAGCGACUGUUUAGCAAAAACACAGGUAUCUGCGAAAGCGAGAGCUGACGUAUAGGUGCUGACACCUGCCCGGUGCUGGAAGGUUAAGGGAACAUGUUAGAGCAAUCGAAGCAUCGAACCGAAGCCCCAGUAAACGGCGGCCGUAACUAUAACGGUCCUAAGGUAGCGAAAUUCCUUGUCGGGUAAGUUCCGACCCGCACGAAUGGUGUAACGACUUGUGAGCUGUCUCAACAGGGGGCCCGGUGAAAUUGAAGUAUGGGUGAAGAUGCCCAUUACCCGCGACUGGACGGAGAGACCCCGUAGAGCUUUACUGCAGCCUGAUAUUGAGUUUCGGUAACUGAUGCACAGGAUAGGUGGGAGUCUGAGAGACAUGGGUUUCGGCUCGUGUGGAGACGGUGUUGGGAUACCACUCUUCGGUUACUGAAAUUCUAACAUAGCUCUGUGAAACCAGAGGAUGGACAGUGUCAGGUGGACAGUUUGACUGGGGCGGUCGCCUCCGAAAGAGUAACGGAGGCGCCCAAAGGUACCCUCAGAAUGGAUGGAAACCAUUCGAAGAGCGCAAAGGCAGAAGGGUGCCUGACUGCGAGAGCGACAACUCGAGCAGAGACGAAAGUCGGGCUUAGUGAUCCGGCGGUAUUGAGUGGAAAAGCCGUCGCUUAACGGAUAAAAGCUACCUCGGGGAUAACAGGCUGAUCUCCCCCAAGAGUCCACAUCGACGGGGAGGUUUGGCACCUCGAUGUCGGCUCAUCGCAUCCUGGGGCUGAAUUCGGUCCCAAGGGUUUGGCUGUUCGCCAAUUAAAGCGGCACGCGAGCUGGGUUCAGAACGUCGUGAGACAGUUCGGUCCCUAUCCAUCGUGGGCGUAGGAGUCAUGAGAGGAGCUGUUCCUAGUACGAGAGGACCGGAAUGGACGCACCACUGGUGCAACUGUUGUCGUGCCAACGGCAUAGCAGGGAAGCGAAGUGCGGAUGGGAUAAACGCUGAAGGCAUCUAAGCGUGAAGCCCACCUCAAGAAUAAGACUCCACAAUAGACCCCUGGAGGACUACCAGGUAGAUAGGUCAUCGGUGGAAGCGCCGUAAGGUGUGUAGCUUGAUGAUACUAAUCGGUCGAAAGCUUCAUUU
rnacentral:rRNA from 1 species